CUGCGGAUCAAGUUGAUUGUUACG
rnacentral:miRNA from 1 species